AGUUCUGAAUUUAAUAUAAAUUUGAAUUGCAAAUUUGAAGAAGGAGAUAUCCCGGGGCGU
rnacentral:tRNA from 1 species